UGGUCAAGAAGCUAUAUCAAUAGAUGGUGGCCAAAUAUGCAGAGUUGCAGUUGAUAGUAGUUGCGUUUUUAAUUUAUUUUUACUUUUUGAUAAUGAAAAGUUUGGUUUUACUACUCUUUGACUGUUAUUUAUUCUUCUUGGAGAGAGGUUAGUGGCUUAGUAACUGUUUGGCCUAGUUUCUACAAGUGUUUCUUUAUCUAAGAAAUAGAAACUGGGCUAAAUAAGGGUUUUUUAAGAAACAAAAACACUUUCUCAAGAAGCCCAAAAUAACUUCUAGAGUGGGAAAAAUAAGAAGCACCAAUUUUGAGCUUCUCUAUAUCAGUUUCUCGGGGAGCUGAUUUCCCAUUUAAUGAAACUUUUUUUUGGACAAAAAUAUCCUUAACAUUUUACAAAAAGACCUCUAAUAUCCCAUUAAAAAAAAGAAACCCCCCUUCUCUCUCUCUUCACCUCUCAUAAACACUGAGCAGCUCUUUCUCUCUCCAAUAACACGAAACGCUCAACCCUCAAGGCCAAACGAAGACGGCGUCCGACGACAUGCAAUCCGGUCCUCCUAGACCACCGGCGCCACCAUUUCGUCCACCCAAGAGGACACAACCAAGCAAUAAUAAGGAGAAAGCUAUAGAUCUCAGUGGUUCUCCUCAUCCAAAUCAUCCCAAUACUUCACGAACAAGAAGUUCUGCCAAUGAGAUUAACGAACAAGUAAAGAGGUCAAAAGCAACUUGGUUUGAUGAAACAACUAAGAUUUUUUGUGAGGUUUGUGCUGAAGAGGUCCAUGCAGGGAAUAGACCACACACUCAUUUUAGCAAAAUUGGUUGGAAUAAUGUGGUUAUAAAGUUCUAACAAAGGUCUGGUAAAAAGUAUGACCAGAAGCAAUUAAAAAACAAGUGGGAGAAGUUAAAAACGGAGUACGCUACAUGGAAGAAUCUCGUAGAAAAGGAGACAGGAUUAGGAUGGGAUCAUGAGAAAAAUACAAUUGUUGCAUCCGAUAAGUGGUGGGCACUCCAAGAACAGGCCAAUCCGAGUGUUGCUAAAUUUCGUGAAGCUGGAAUCCAAAAUUUAACAGAGUUAGAGAUCAUGUUUGCUAAAAUAAUUGUUUCUGCUACAACUUCAUGGAACCCUUAUUCACAAGAUGAUAUUGAAAUAGAAGACUUGACUACCAUAGGAAACGAAGAGAUAGAAUAUGAGGAACAAGUUGACAUUACUAUGGAUGGUAGUAUCAAUGAAACAGUAUCUCAACAGCUUGAAAGUGAAAGCAUUGACAAGACCAAAGUCAAUACAACAUCGGAAGAAAAAGGAAAAAAAACACAAAAAGGAAAUAAAUCUAAAGUUAGCACAGCUAAGCUCAUGCAAAAUUAGCUAAAACGUAUUGUUGGUGCGAUGGAGAAUUUCUCUCAAUCUAGUGCUACUGUAACUUCAAAAAGAACCGAUCUUCCUGGUUGUAGCAUUGGAGAGUGUCUAACAUUGCUAGCUACAACACCAGGGGUUGAAAUAGGAAGUGAACAUGAUUUUAGUAUGGAGUCUAUUCGCUAUAAUAUUGCAACUUCUCUAAUGAGUCGUGGAUUGUAACAUUAUUGGAUCUUUUAUUAGGAAUAAUAAUAGCAGACAUUUUGGAUAUGAAUUUUUUAUAUUUUGACAAAAAAAUCUAAGUAUUUAGACUUAUGAAUUGUUCAAUAUUUUAAAUUAAAUUUAAUCUUAUAAGCUAUUAUAAACAAUUUGCUAUUAAAAAACAAAAAAAAAAACUAUUAUUAACAAAAAAAAAAAAACUAUUAUUAACAACAAUGUACAAGAAAUUAAUACUAAUUUAUUCUCCCAAAUAAUUUUUUUUAAAAAAAAAACUAAUAUGGGCCAAACAGGGUAAAAUAGUUUCUCAAUCUAAGAAUCACUUCUGAUUUUUGAUGGGCCAAACAAAUCUAUUUCUUACAACUGUUUCUCUAGAAAUAGUUUCUGGAA